AUUUCCCCUUUUUGUCUGUUUACAAAUUUCAUUCUGAGCGGGAAAAUCUUCAAAGUUUUUUUUUUCCAGUUUCAGAAAUGGAGAACAAAGAUGUCGCCGUGGAGAAAACCGACGCCGGUCCGAUCGAAUUACCUGCUCCUCCUGGCUGGAAGAAGAGAUUCACUCCGGGAAAGAGCAGUACCCCUAGAAGGUAUGCUAUUGUAUUUGUUUCACCUGACGGCGACGAAAUUAAGAACAAGAAGCAAUUAGACAAGUAUCUGAAAUCUCAUCCAGGAGGACCUCCUGCCUCUGAAUUUAAUUGGGGUACAGGUGACACUCCUAGACGAUCAAGUAGAUUGGGUGGAAAAUCUGAAGCAAUGGAGACACCAGAAAGUGAUACUCCCAGUACGAAGAGACAAAGGAAAUCAAGUUCCAAAAAAGAAGCCAAGGAAGAUGGUAGCGAGCGAAAAGCUGAGGGUGCUACUGAGAAAGAAACUAAGGCAAAUGAUGAACCUGCUUUGCCUGAUGCAGAGGAUCUGGAAGCCCAAGAUGUAGAGAUGGCAUCUAAGAAUCUCACUGAUGGAGAUAACACAAAGGAUGAGAAGGAGAAGACCAAUGAUGGCGAGAUUGUCCCCAAGGAGCCUCUGGCAAGUGAAGAUAAGAUGGAAAUUGUGCAUGAAAAAGAAGAAACAAAGGAUGAGAAGGAGAAGACUGAUGAUGGUGAGAUUGUCCCCAAGGAGCCUCUGGCAAGUGAAGAUAAGAUGGAAAUUGUGCAAGAAAAAGAAGAAACAAAGGAUGAGGAGGAGAAGACCAAUGAUGGUGAGAUUGUCCCUGAGGAGCCAUCGGAAAGUGAAGAUAAGAUGGAAAUUGUGCAAGAAAAAGAAGAAAUAUUGGAUGAGGGAAACAUUGAGAAAAUGAAAAAUCGAGAAGCGGAAGAUAAGCCUCUGGAUAACAGCCUUAAGACUGACAAUAAAACACUACCGUUGAAUGUGUUGGAAGAAAAUAAGAUUGAGAGUAAACCAGCUGGGACAGAUGCCUCAUCUCUUUCUGUUGAACACAGCAAGUCAACCUCAGGUAGCCAAGAAGAAAUUGCAGAAGAAGCUCCUGCAGCUGAAGAUGCACUGGAUGCGCUUGAGGAAAAUAAAAUAGAGAGUAAACCAGCUGGGGCAGAUGCCUCAUCUCAUUCUGCAGAACUCAGCAAGGCAACCUCAGUUAGCCAAGAAGAAGCUCCAGCCGCUGCAGAUCCACUGGUUCAGAAUUCUAAUGAUGGUAAAGUACACGAAAAUGAGCAGAUUGUCAGGGAGAUUCCAAUUGAGGAGAUCAAUGGUACAGAAUCCGCUGCAGCAUGUGUUAACAAUUCUGUGCAGCAAGAAGCCACCGUAAUCAACCAAGCCACCUCAAGUUAACUUUUUUAUAUCUUAGUAGAAUACCGUAUCAUCUGGCCUUCAUUUCUUCUUGGCCCUGAUUUAGUUAUGAUGUUUUCUGGAAAGGUGGCUACUAAAAUCAAGAGUAGUUGUCUUCAAAUUGUGGUAGCACCUCUCCUUUUCAGUUCAAGUCAGCGAGCGGUUGAAGAUUUAAAAGUUCUUCAACUUUGAGUGAAGAUCUUUGAUAAGGCAUUGGUUGUACUUCACGUAUACAUCGAACUCUCCAUGAAACUUGUAAAACUUAUGAACGACCCAGUUACGGGUUACCCUGCCGCUGGAGCACUACCGCAAAACACUGACGGUUAUGGAGGUGCUGCUUACCAACAACCACCGAGAGACACAGCUUACCCAUGUGAAGCACCGCCACCUGCCUCCGCGGUGUACAACCAACCUAAUAUCCACGAUCCCAUACGCAAAGCCCCCAUGCUUCAAGUGCUCGGUGUGUAUGCUAUUGCGGUCAUCGGCAUUUCAAUUAUUUAUAUUUUCGUUUAUAUACUUGAUGAUAGAGAGCCCGUGUUCAGAGUUGAUUCACUGUCAGUGUCGAAUCUUAAUCUCACCAAUUCGCUGAUUUCUGGUAAAUGGGACCUUCGUUUUAUUGUGAAAAAUCCGACCAAGGAGAUGGCCAUUUUCUAUAAUGAUAUCGCUGCUGCGGUUUUCUAUGAUGAUGCGUCGCUUUCCGAUACAACGGUUCCGCCUCUUUUUCAGGUGGAUACGACUCAGACGGCCCGGCAAGUGAGUUUUGCUACUGCUGGCGCAUACAUGGAUAAUCAGGCUUUUGAUAAGAUGAACAAAGAAAGGUCGCAAAAAGGUGCAAUUGGGUUCAAUGUGAGGAUAGUGGCUGGGUUUAGGGUUAGUUCUGGGGUUUAUUGGAAUCGGAUGAGGACGUUUGUAAUGGUCUAUUGUAAGGAUUUGUCAGUCGGGGUUGGUUCGAAUAAUUCAUCGGGCACCUUGCUUGGUGGUGCGCGACAGUGCCAGGUUGAACUCUGACGGUGAUUUUUGCUUGUUUCAAGGUUAAGAAGACUGAGACGGCCCGGCAAGCAAGUUUUGUUACUGCGGGCGCAUAUAUGGAUGAUCAGGCUUUUGAUAAGAUGAACAAAGAAAGGUGCAAUCGGGUUCAAUAUGAGGGUGGUCGCUGGGGCUAGGUUUAGGGAUGGGUCUUGGAGUAAGAGUAGGACGUUUAUAAUGGUCUAUUGUAAGGAUUUGUCCGUCGGGGUUGGGUCAAAUAAUUCAUCGGGUACGUUGCUUGGUGGUGCGCAACAGUGCAAGGUUGAACUCUGAUGGUGAUCUUUGCUUGUUUUAAGGGGUACGCGGUGUUUUUGUCAGUCUUAGUUGCCGCGUCUCUACCAAAACGACUUCAGAGGCUUCUGCUGAUGUUGCUGUUUCAUCUAGGAAUAACUUUGUAGGUUUCUUCAAUGAGUAAUUGCUAGUAAGUUUCAGUUACAUUGACAACUUAGUUGUCUCUAGAUAUUUUUUUUAUUAAUGGCAAUAGCUUUUGGGGUAUCUUAAUAAUUUGUUGGAUCUCUAAACUUGAGUUAGAUUAGUAGACUAAUAUGGUUAUUUCUGUUUUGAUACGUUUCUAUAUUGAGAAACAAUUAAGCUAUAAAGAACAUCUAAACAUCGAUUUCUUUGUAAAUGUUUAUCGACGCAUACAUUAACUUUGUGCUCUGAUUUGCAUA